rnacentral:rRNA from 1 species
GAUGAACGCUGGCGGCGUGCCUAACACAUGCAAGUCGAACGGAGUUGUUAUUAGGAAGUUUUCGGAUGGAAUAAUAAUAACUUAGUGGCGGACGGGUGAGUAACGCGUGGGUAACCUGCCUCAUACAGGGGGAUAACAGCUGGAAACGGUUGCUAACACCGCAUAAUAUGGCGACAUCGCCUGGUGAUGCAAUUAAAUAUUUAUAGGUAUGAGACGGGCCCGCGUCUGAUUAGCUAGUUGGUGGGGGAAUGGCCUACCAAGGCAACGAUCAGUAGCCGGCUUGAUAGAGUGACCGGCCACAUUGGGACUGAGACACGGCCCAAACUCCUACGGGAGGCAGCAGUGGGGAAUAUUGCACAAUGGGGGAAACCCUGAUGCAGCGACGCCGCGUGAGUGAAGAAGUAUUUCGGUAUGUAAAGCUCUAUCAGCAGGGAAGAAAAUGACGGUACCUGACUAAGAAGCCCCGGCUAACUACGUGCCAGCCGCCGCAGUAAGAC